AGAGUUUGAUCCUGGCUCAGAUGAACGCUAGCGCAGGCCUAACACAUGCAAGUCGAGGGGUAACAGGGAGCUUGCUCCGCUGACGACCGGCGCACGGGUGCGCACCGCGUAUGGAACCUACCUUGUACAGGGGAAUAGCCCAGGGAAACUUGGAUUAAUGCCCGUGGUACCAUGACCCGGCAUCGGGAUAUGGUUAAGCCUUCGGGCGGUACAAGGAUGGCCAUGCGUCCCAUUAGUUUGUUGGUAAGGUAACGGCUUACCAAGACUACGAUGGGUAGGGGCCCUGAGAGGGGGAUCCCCCACACUGGUACUGAGACACGGACCAGACUCCUACGGGAGGCAGCAGUGAGGAAUAUUGGACAAUGGAGGAGACUCUGAUCCAGCCAUGCCGCGUGCAGGAAGAAUGCCCUAUGGGUAGUAAACUGCUUUUAUACGGGAAGAAAAGAGCUACGUGUAGCUUACUGACGGUACCGUAAGAAUAAGGACCGGCUAACUCCGUGCCAGCAGCCGCGGUAAUACGGAGGGUCCGAGCGUUAUCCGGAAUUAUUGGGUUUAAAGGGUCCGUAGGCGGGCCGAUAAGUCAGGGGUGAAAGUCUGCCGCUCAACGGUAGAACUGCCUUUGAUACUGUCGGUCUUGAGUUAUAGUGAAGUUGCCGGAAUAUGUAGUGUAGCGGUGAAAUGCAUAGAUAUUACAUAGAACACCGAUUGCGAAGGCAGGUGACUAACUAUAUACUGACGCUGAUGGACGAAAGCGUGGGGAGCGAACAGGAUUAGAUACCCUGGUAGUCCACGCCGUAAACGAUGGAUACUAGCUGUCCGGAACCUUGAGUUCUGGGCGGCCAAGCGAAAGUGAUAAGUAUCCCACCUGGGAGUACGUUCGCAAGAAUGAAACUCAAAGGAAUUGACGGGGGCCCGCACAAGCGGUGGAGCAUGUGGUUUAAUUCGAUGAUACGCGAGGAACCUUACCAGGGCUUAAAUGCAUAUUGACAGGUCUAGAGAUAGAUUUUCCUUCGGGCAAUUUGCAAGGUGCUGCAUGGUUGUCGUCAGCUCGUGCCGUGAGGUGUCAGGUUAAGUCCUAUAACGAGCGCAACCCCUACCGUUAGUUGCCAGCAUGUCAUGAUGGGGACUCUAACGGGACUGCCGGUGCAAACCGUGAGGAAGGUGGGGAUGACGUCAAAUCAUCACGGCCCUUACGUCCUGGGCCACACACGUGCUACAAUGGCAGGUACAGAGAGCAGCCAUGUCGCAAGGCAGAGCGAAUCUAUAAAACCUGUCACAGUUCGGAUCGGGGUCUGCAACUCGACCCCGUGAAGCUGGAAUCGCUAGUAAUCGGAUAUCAGCCAUGAUCCGGUGAAUACGUUCCCGGCCUUGUACACACCGCCCGUCAAGCCAUGGAAGCCGGGAGUGCCUGAAGUCCGUCACCGUAAGGAGCGGCCUAGGGCAAGAUCGGUAACUAGGGCUAAGUCGUAACAAGGUAGCCGUACCGGAAGGUGCGGCUG
rnacentral:rRNA from 1 species